AUGGUCGAGUGUCAUUGUGUCAUAUCACAUCCUCCAACUCAGCACCUGCAGUCGCUCCCAGCUGCAGCAGUGCAGUCUCUCUACAAUCUGACUGAGGGAGGUUUUUCUGGUCCGGUGGUGAAGCCUUCCGUGUCUCUGCUCCCUCCCUCCUCUCUGCAGCUCUCUGAGGGCUCGGCCUCGUUGCUCUGCCUGCUCUCGGCCUAUUCUCCACAGGGGGCGCUGCUGAGCUGGACCGUAGACGGUGCCGAGGUGAACGAGGGGGUUCUGACCAGUACAGAAGAACAGAAGAACGGCAUCUACAGCCGCAGCAGCACCCUGACCCUCAGCAAAGAACGCUGGGAAGAGGCCGAGGUGUUCGGCUGUACCGUGUCCCACCACGACACCACUCAGAUCGCCUCGUUCCGAAAGAGCCGCUGUGAAGUCCACUAG